CCUACGGGUGGCAGCAGUGAGGAAUAUUGGUCAAUGGCCGCAAGGCUGAACCAGCCAAGUCGCGUGAAGGAUGAAUGCCCUAUGGGUUGUAAACUUCUUUUAUAGAGGAAUAAAGUUAUCCACGUGUGGCUAUUUGCAUGUACUCUAUGAAUAAGCAUCGGCUAACUCCGUGCCAGCAGCCGCGGUAAUACGGAGGAUGCGAGCGUUAUCCGGAUUUAUUGGGUUUAAAGGGUGCGUAGGUGGGUUUUUAAGUCAGCGGUGAAAGUUUGUGGCUCAACCAUAAAAUUGCAGUUGAAACUGGAAGACUUGAGUGUAGUUGAGGUAGGCGGAAUGCGUGGUGUAGCGGUGAAAUGCAUAGAUAUCACGCAGAACUCCGAUUGCGAAGGCAGCUUACUAAGC
rnacentral:rRNA from 1 species